AUAGUGCUUGUCCAGAACUUUUGUAAGUACUUUUAAUCAGCAACUUUAUAAAAGCUGAUAUAAAGCUGAAAAGGAGCUUUAAUUUAAUUAAAUCGUUCAUAUUCGUUGCGAAAGGUGUAUACUUAAGUUCGAUGAAAAAUGGCUUCUGCAGCUGAUGAUUAUUAAGUAUUAUACAAUUGCUUAUA
rnacentral:lncRNA from 1 species